AUGAACGCUGGCGGCGUGCCUAAUACCUGCAAGUCGAGCGAACGGACGAGAAGCUUGCUUCUCUGAUGUUAGCGGCGGACGGGUGAGUAACACGUGGAACCUACCUAUAAGACUGGGAUAACUUCGGGAAACCGGAGCUAAUACCGGAUAAUAUUUUGAACCGCAUGGUUCAAAAGUGAAAGACGGUCUUGCUGUCACUUAUAGAUGGAUCCGCGCUGCAUUAGCUAGUUGGUAAGGUAACGGCUUACCAAGGCAACGAUGCAUAGCCGACCUGAGAGGGUGAUCGGCCACACUGGAACUGAGACACGGUCCAGACUCCUACGGGAGGCAGCAGUAGGGAAUCUUCCGCAAUGGGCGAAAGCCUGACGGAGCAACGCCGCGUGAGUGAUGAAGGUCUUCGGAUCGUAAAACUCUGUUAUUAGGGAAGAACAUAUGUGUAAGUAACUGUGCACAUCUUGACGGUACCUAAUCAGAAAGCCACGGCUAACUACGUG
rnacentral:rRNA from 1 species